GGGGGCGUAACUCAAUUGGCAGAGUAGCGGGCUUUUAACCCGAAGGUUGCAGGUUCAACUCCUGCCGCCCCCA
rnacentral:tRNA from 1 species